rnacentral:rRNA from 1 species
AUUGAACGCUGGCGGCAGGCCUAACACAUGCAAGUCGAACGAGUGGCGGACGGGUGAGUAAUGCCUGGGAAACUGCCCGAUGGAGGGGGAUAACUACUGGAAACGGUAGCUAAUACCGCAUACCAUCGGAUGAGCCCAGAUGGGAUUAGCUAGUAGGUGGGGUAACGGCUAACCUAGGCGACGAUCCCUAGCUGGUCUGAGAGGAUGACCAGCAACGUGGGAACUGGGACACGGUCCAGACUCCUACGGGGGGCAGCAGUGGGGAAUAUUGCACAGUGGGCGCAAUGCUGAUGCAGCCAGGCCGGGUGGAGGAGGAGGGCCUUCGGGUUGUAAAGUACUUUCAGCGAGGAGGCGUUACUCGCAGAAGAAGCACCGGCUAACUCCGUGCCAGCAGCCGCGGUAAUAC